AGGACGAACGCUGGCGGCGUGCUUAACACAUGCAAGUCGAGCGGAAAGGCCCUUCGGGGUACUCGAGCGGCGAACGGGUGAGUAACACGUGAGUAAUCUGCCCCUAGCUCUGGGAUAGCUCCGGGAAACCGGGAUUAAUACCAGAUACGACCACUUUAGACAUCUUCUGUGGUGGAAAGAACUUCGGCUAGGGAUGAACUCGCGGCCUAUCAGCUUGUUGGUGAGGUAACGGCUCACCAAGGCGACGACGGGUAGCCGGCCUGAGAGGGCGACCGGCCACACUGGGACUGAGACACGGCCCAGACUCCUACGGGAGGCAGCAGUGGGGAAUAUUGCGCAAUGGGCGAAAGCCUGACGCAGCGACGCCGCGUGGGGGAUGAAGGCCUUCGGGUUGUAAACCCCUUUCAGCAGGGACGAAGCGAAAGUGACGGUACCUGCAGAAGAGCGCCGGCUAACUACGUGCCAGCAGCCGC
rnacentral:rRNA from 1 species